rnacentral:tRNA from 1 species
AUCCCCGUAACUCAAUGGAUCAGAGUGCGUGAUUACGAAUCACGAAGUUGAAGGAUGAGGGUGGACACAAGACAGUCCCUGCGGACUGUUUUGUGCCUGCCGAAUCCGAGCGCCUUGCAGGGCGCGAGGUGGAAGAGUCCUUCCGGGGGUGCCA